GACAGAGGGUGCAAACGUUUGUUCGGAAUUACUGGGCGUAAAGAGUGUGUAGGCGGUGCUCUAAGUUCGGUGUGAAAUCUCCUGGCUCAACUGGGAGGGUGCGCCGGAAACUGGAGUGCUUGAGCGUGGGAGAGGAAAGCGGAAUUCCUGGUGUAGCGGUGAAAUGCGUAGAUAUCAGGAGGAACACCUGUGGUGUAGACGCUUUCUGGACCAUAGCUGACGCUGAGACACGAAAGCGUGGGUAGCAAACAGG
rnacentral:rRNA from 1 species